GCCGCAGCUUAACAGCGGUGCCGACAGCAAGUGCAUCUCGUCGCCUUUGGGGGGCUGGGUGGUGCCCCUCAGAGUGAAUUUGGAGGUUCUACACGG
rnacentral:snoRNA from 1 species